AUUUUUUUUUAAUUUGGUUUAAUUUACAGUUGAUUUUAGUGUUUAAAGUGGUUACUGUUUAUUAAAGCUCAAUUUAUUCUUCAUCUCAGGACGAUAAGAUGAUGAUGAGUGAAAAUAAGUGAAAGAUGAUCAAGGGAAUAUAUAAGAUGUUGAUGAGGAGGAAGAAAAGUAAGAAGACCAUAAACAUUCUGAUCGUACCUCAAGGCAAUUUGUUAUAAUACUAACCUCACUAUCAUCACUUUCUCCCAUGAGAAAUCAUUUUGGGUAAAGAUUUGUAUUAAAUGUAAAAAGCAGUUGAACCAAGAAAAAUUUGGAAUUAAAUGAAAGAAUGAGAGAAAAUCAUUGAAAAAAGUACAAUGAAAUGAAAAGAGAAUGAAAUCUGUAUGUAUUAUUAUUGUUUGGCUACUUCAAUUCUUGGACAAUCAACUAUUAUUAUUGCUAUUCUUAUAAAGUUGGCAGAUUACACUCUCUCCAUCAUUAAGAUUCUGGUGAUGAAAUUUUGCCUGGUUUUUUCAUUUACUAUCGCCUGAAUUUGCUAAAUAUUGACAACCCUUAAUGGUACAUUUUAUUUUAUCAACAUCUCGAGUCUCGUGUAAUUUUCACCAUUAUUUACCAACUUUCAACAAACAUUACAUAAAACAAUCUCAAAAUUUAACCAUUUUACCAUCUUGUUAGUCACAUAGACAGCAUAAAAGGCUUAAUGGAAGACUUUCCCUAUUGUUUUACACAUUUUAAUAAUCUUGACUCAACAUCCGAUUGAUACAACAAACUCAACUUUUCCCUGAACUGUUUUCUGCCACCGUUUUCCCUUUGAAUCACUUUUGUUUUGGGUUAAUUUUGGAAAGCGAAACAAGAUCGGAUUCCAUUGAUUGAACUGAUGAAAUGUGAAAAUAAUUUGACGGUAAAGUACAUUGGAUCGUUGCUCCCUCUUCAUCCAUCUUUAAAUCAGCAUGUAAAGCAUGAGAGUCAUCCUAUUGAGUUCUGGUUAACCUUGAAGAGCUGUCAGUGGAUGAUGAAGAUGAUGAAAGUGUAGGAGGCAGUAAAGGAUGAGGAAUGAUGAGAUUCGAAUAAACUUAUUCAUUCUUCUCUCCCUUCCAGAAACGAGACUUUCUUUGGAAACCAUCAAAGAUUAACUUUGUUUAUAGACAAUAAUAUUCAUCCUCUUUUACCAAAAGUUUAAAAAUUAUCAUCAUUAUUAAUGUAGGCGAAUAAAGGAAACCUAAAAUAAACAAACAUCUUCUCAUCUUUCAUCGUCUUCAUCAUCAUCCUGAUCGCACUCACACACACACACACAAAUAUAUAUACACAUAUAAUCACUCAAGCCAUGUUGAUUUACAUUGACCAUUCACUCAAAAUUCAAAUUGAACUCAAGUUAACCGCUGAAACCAUCAAAAUGGAUUAUAAUAAUCAAUUGUGAUUAAAUUUGCCUUUUUUCACAUCAUUCAAUUGAAAAUAAUCAUUCUCUUGGUGAACUAGAGAGAAGCAAAUUUCAUUGUAUUAUUAUUUUGAAGGCGAUAAUGAUCAACUCUUGCAUAGUAGCUGUUCACUCUACCCGAAAAGAUGGAAAAUUGAUACUGCUAUUGAAUCGCAUGAAAAAAAGGAUAAUAUCAAGCUCAUGCUAUUGUCUUCUUUACUGUGAAGAUAAUUCAUUUUAUUUCAUUUUUUUCAAUGCAAAAGUGUUGCUUGACUGGUUGGCUGAUUAAACGGCAGACUUUUCAUCUUGAAUGACGAUCCUGGUGAUGAUGCUGUUAUUGUUGUUUGACUAGGAUGGCGAUCAAGAAAAGAUGAUCAAAAACGAUGAUGAGGAUGGGAAUUCAUUGCAUUUAAAAAUAUUGAUGUUCAUUCCUUUUCUUUCAUCCUUUUCAUCAUCAUCUUCAAGUUAACUUUUCAUUUGAUUGAUAACCUUACAUUCAAUUUUUUGCCUUCUAUUUUCAUCUCAAUGUUGACAUGAGGAUAGGAAAUGAAAACAAAAAAACAUGAUGAUAAUUCAUUGUGAUGACCAGAGAGAAAAGGCAACAAUCAAGACUAACACCGAGUCUGAUGAAAGUUGAGUGAAAAUUGAAUUUUUUCUCCACAAGAAAAUUAUAUUUCUCUGAAGGCAAAAAUUAAUGGUUAUCUCAAUCAAAUGAUUACCUUGACAUAUGUUUUAAUAUUGCCAUUACAAAUGGAUUUAAAACAACACAUCAAAUAUCAAUAAGCUUUGAUACAUCUGAAAAGCCAAUUGUUGAGUGAAACUUGAAAAUGAUAGGAUGAUGGGAAUGAAAAGAGUAGAGGAAAUGAUGAACAUUUAUCUUUCCAUUUUUCGCACUCGUUUCAUUAUUGUUAAAUAUUCAUUACAGAUUCAUAGACGUUGGAGGUAAAAAUUGAAUUAACUUCAAGUCACGCAGGUAACAUUAAUCGUACCUUUGGAAUCGCAAAUUUACAAGCAACUUUACUGGUGAUGACAACUCGAUAAUACAAUUAACCUGUCCAUUCAUCAAGAGCAUAAUUGAAACCCAAAGCAACACUUGGAAACAAUGAAACAACAAAAAAACAGUGACAAUUGUGACACCAAAAAACAACAGCAACAAACGCGUUCAAUUGUGUUGGAAACAAAAAGGCGAAAAUAAACUGAAAAAAAAAGAUUCACAAAAAAUGGUUAAUUAUUAAUAGCAAUUACAGAUUGUAUCUUUGAUUGUACCACCAUUAAGGUCAUUUCCGUUCGUCCUUAAUCAUUACCAUCUAACAGCGGAAAUAAAUUUCAACUCAAAUCAUUGUGAUUUAAUAAUUUUCAUUAAAUCAUUUUGAUUACAAGUUGAUGUUAACUUGAUGACAAAGUGUUUAGGAAAAGGCAGAGAGAAGCCUUUUUCCAGCAAUCGAUUUAAUCUUAUUAAUCAAUUAGUUGUUGGUUAAUUAAGCCUAAACUUGCAGUUUAAACAUAAUUUUUAACUUUACACUGUUUAGCACAAUUCAUGUAACCAUCAAAGUACAUUAAUCUCAACAAUUUGCAAUUGCUUUAAUCAUUAAUUGCCAGGUUGAGGAGAAGCAAAAAAAUGAGAUAAAAUACAAAUUUGAAGCCAUUAAUCAAAAGGAAACUUCAUAAACUCAAAGGUGAUUCCAUCACUCCCAAUGAGCCUUGAAAUGAAAUUUCAAAGUUAUGAUAUCAUUGAGAUUGUUCAUUUGUUUUUGUUCAGUUUUUUGGGCUUUUCUCGUUCCAUUGUGUUUAUAACCUGGUUUGUGUGUGUUUCUUGUGUACAGACUGAAGAGCAUUUUAAGGCAACAAUUUAUAAAUUGUUGACAACCUACACUUGGACUGGGUUGAACAGGCAAUUCAUAUUA